rnacentral:rRNA from 1 species
UACGUAGGGAGCAAGCGUUGUUCGGAUUUACUGGGCGUAAAGGGCGCGUAGGCGGCGCGGUAAGUCACUUGUGAAAUCUCUGAGCUUAACUCAGAACGGCCAAGUGAUACUGCAGUGCUAGAGUGCAGAAAGGGCAAUCGGAAUUCUUGGUGUAGCGGUGAAAUGCGUAGAUAUCAAGAGGAACACCUGAGGCGAAGGCGGGUUGCUAGGCUGACACUGACGCUGAGGAGCGAAAGCCAGGGGAGCAAACGGG